rnacentral:rRNA from 1 species
AUAUCGGAACGUGUCUUUAGUGGGGGAUAACGCAGCGAAAGCUGUGCUAAUACCGCAUACGAUCGGGAGAUGACAGCGGGGGAUCGCAAGACCUCGCGCUAAAGGAGUGGCCGAUAUCAGAUUAGCUAGUUGGUGAGGUAAAGGCUCACCAAGGCGACGAUCUGUAGCUGGUCUGAGAGGAUGAUCAGACACACUGGAACUGAGACACGGUCCAGACUCCUACGGGAGGCAGCAGUGGGGAAUUUUGGACAAUGGGGGCAACCCUGAUCCAGCCAUUCCGCGUGAGUGAAGAAGGCCUUCGGGUUGUAAAGCUCUUUUGUCGGGGACGAAACGGUUACGAUUUAUACUCGUGA